rnacentral:rRNA from 1 species
UACGUAGGUGGCAAGCGUUGUCCGGAUUUACUGGGCGUAAAGAGCGCGCAGGCGGUCGUGCAAGUCGCGUGUGAAAGCCCCCCGGCUCAACUGGGGAGGGUCACGCGAUACUGCUCGACUCGAAGGCAGGAGAGGGAAGUGGAAUUCCCGGUGUAGUGGUGAAAUGCGUAGAUAUCGGGGAGGAACACCAGUGGCGAAGGCGACUUCCUGGUCCAGCACCGACGUCAGGCACGAAAGCGUGGGGAGCAAACAGG